rnacentral:rRNA from 1 species
UGAGGAAUAUUGGUCAAUGGGCGAGAGCCUGACCCAGCCAAGUAGCGUGCAGGAUGACGGCCCUAUGGGUUGUAAACUGCUUUUAUGUGGGGAUAAAGUGCGUGACGUGUCAUGCAUUGCAGGUACCACAUGAAUAAGGACCGGCUAAUUCCGUGCCAGCAGCCGCGGUAAUACGGAAGGUCCGGGCGUUAUCCGGAUUUAUUGGGUUUAAAGGGAGCGUAGGCUGUCUAUUAAGCGUGUUGUGAAAUAUACCGGCUCAACCGGUGGCUUGCAGCGCGAACUGGUCGACUUGAGUAUGCAGGAAGUAGGCGGAAUUCAUGGUGUAGCGGUGAAAUGCUUAGAUAUCAUGACGAACUCCGAUUGCGCAGGCAGCUUACUGUAGCAUAACUGACGCUGAUGCUCGAAAGUGCGGGUAUCAAACAGG